rnacentral:rRNA from 1 species
AGUCGAACGGACUUACCAUUAGUUUACUAUUGGAGCGGUUAGUGGCGGACUGGUGAGUAACACGUAAGCAACCUGCCUAUCAGAGGGGAACAACAGUUAGAAAUGACUGCUAAUACCGCAUAUGCCUUAAUUACCACAUGGUAGUAGAGGGAAAGGAGCAAUCCGCUGAUAGAUGGGCUUGCGUCUGAUUAGAUAGUUGGUAAGGUAACGGCUUACCAAGUCGACGAUCAGUAGCCGGACUGAGAGGUUGAACGGCCACAUUGGGACUGAGAUACGGCCCAGACUCCUACGGGAGGCAGCAGUCGGGAAUAUUGCGCAAUGGAGGAAACUCUGACGCAGUGACGCCGCGUGCAGGAAGAAGGUUUUCGGAUUGUAAACUGCUUUAGACAGGGAAGAAACAAGACAGUACCUGUAGAAUAAGCUCCGGCUAACUACGUGCCAGCAGCCGCGGUAAUACGUAGGGAGCAAGCGUUAUCCGGAUUUAUUGGGUGUAAAGGGUGCGUAGACGGGAAUGCAAGUUGGUUGUGAA